ACUUUCUGGCAAUGGGCAAAGAGACGCCUUGUUGGUAGUGGUGUUCUUAUAUCAGGGACAGAACAGAUGGCAGUCUUUUGUUCUUCCUAGCUUGAUGCUUGGCUGGGUGGCCAAAGCUGCUUUAUGCCUAGGACUCAUAA
ensembl:snoRNA LOC120102026 small nucleolar RNA SNORA48